GUUUCUUUAUGCAGCGAGAGUGCAGCGUAAAUGACGUCACGAGCAGCUAUCGCUACACGUCGCUGCAUCAUAGUUUAGAAACGCUUUCCGCUCGAGCGAAACACGGACGUCAUAAUCUAUCCUUUAAUUCCAGUUACAGCCGAAAAUAGUGCUUUAGUUAAAGAACUACAAUAUUUAAAUAAAGAGAUAUAAAGAAUCGAGCAUUUAUCUUUCCAUAAAUGUGAACAAAGUAAAGAGAUAAAAGAUAUAUAAUUAUAUUUAAAAUAUAGUAUUUUCUUAUUCUUUAGAUAACUUUCAGAGUCAUUUCAUAAAAUUUAAUCCUUCUUAAUCUUUCCAUAAUAUUUUUAUCAACAGUCACUUCGACUUUUUUAUUUUUACAGCAUAAUAUCGUAUUAUACACACAAGCGUCCAUUUUGCUUUACACGUGUAGCGGACGUAAAAAAGUUAUUUUGUCACGUUGCCAUAGCAACGAAACAAAACAAACAUUACAAAAUGGCGGUCGAUUUGAAAUAAUACUUUUGGUAUAGAAAUUUAAAUAUAAUGGCUCCAAAGAUGAAAAAUAAACAAAAAGUAGAAGCUGUGAAGCAAAAAACGAUAGAAAAAAUAGAAGACAUUAAACCAAUACCGGAAGCCAUUAUUUUGCAAUCUCCUUUAGAAAGCAUUCAAGAAAAUAUAUUCACGAAAGGUAUUGAAAAAGUUCCAGGAAUUGAACCUUUAACACUUUCUGCAGACACCCAGAAGCUUUUUAACUGUGUUAUUGGUGAUAAUGUUACUGAAAAUUCACGCAUAGUUUCAAUUCAGAAAGAAAAUAUUUUAAAUGAUAUUAAUGAAAGAAAAGAAUGUUCAGAAUUUUUUCCAUUUUAUCAAGUAAUUUUGUUUUGAAGUUUUCCCAGAACACUGCUACAUACCCAAUGACAGAGUUGUUGCUGUCAAUCCCAUGGAAUGUAUCAAUGAUGUAUUGUUUCAUGCUGUCCAUGUCCAGAAAAUUUGGCUUCCAAGGAGCACCUUGUCAUUGAUGACCCCAAAAUGAAGAAAUCCAUGGGAAUAGGUUAUGCCACCACUAAUAAAAAAUAUACUAAGAAUAUCCAGAUGAUGAAUUGAAAUUAGUAUAUGACUGUGAUUCUAAAAAUAGUCAUAAUUUUUACUUAUAUGUAUCAAAGAAAAUGGCAGAAAAUAUUAAUAAUGAAAUUCUAGUAAGUGUUUUUUAUUAUACCAAUAGUAAUUUUUGAAUUAUAAAAUACAGGGUAAUUCAGAACAUAUCAACAGGACUUACAGCUAUAUUCACCACCUCAAGUAAAGUCUAGAGU